rnacentral:rRNA from 1 species
UACGGGGGGGGCAAGCGUUGUUCGGAAUUACUGGGCGUAAAGGGCUCGUAGGCGGCCAACUAAGUCAGACGUGAAAUCCCUCGGCUUAACCGGGGAACUGCAUCUGAUACUGGAUGGCUUGAGUUCGGGAGAGGGAUGCGGAAUUCCAGGUGUAGCGGUGAAAUGCAUAGAUAUGUCACAGAACACCAAUUGCGAAGGCAGCUUACUAUGGUUUAAUUGACGCUGAGGCACGAAAGCGUGGGGAUCAAACCGG